GUCGUCCAUGGGGCAGCAGUGCAAGCUGGGUUGGCCUGGGACUGGGCCCCCACGUAUGGUGGUGGUCGUUGAGGUUUCCGGGUAGGUGGUGGGCCGCACUUCGGGCAGGGAGUGGACACAGUGGCGGCUCGAGAGGACAAAGAAAGUCAUACAGGUAUGGAACGACAUAAGGGCAGGUGUUUGUUCUCACUUGGUCAUCCAGUCCCAUGAGGCUGUGUCUGUGGUCGUUGGUGAGAGAGGGCUGCGAUGAGUCUGCACUGAUUGGGUAUCCUGGGUAUCCAUUAGGAAAACCCUGCAUCGGGAAUGCAGGGGCUACACAAACAGAACAAAGCACAGUACACAUAAGCAGUGUGUAGAUAUUCCAGCUCACUAUUGGGUGUCUGUGGAGUUCGAGGCAUGUCCAUUUCUGGUGCGUGCCCGGGUCGGGUCAUGAUCAUGGGCUCUUC